GAUGAACGCUGGCGGCGUGCCUAAUACAUGCAAGUCGAGCGAACAGACGAGGAGCUUGCUUCUCUGACGUUAGCGGCGGACGGGGGAGUAAAACGUGGAUAACUCACCUCUGAGACUGGGGUAACUUCGGGAAACCGGACGCAAUACCGGCUUAUAUCUUGAACCGCAUGGUUCGAUAGUGCAAGACGGUUUUGCUGUCACUUAUCGAUGGAUCGGCGACGUAUUAGCUAGUUGGUAGGGUAACGGCCUACCAAGGCGACGAUCCGUAGCUGAUCUGAGAGGAUGAUCAGCCACACUGGAACUGAGACACGGUCCAGACUCCUACGGGAGGCAGCAGUGGGGAAUAUUGGACAAUGGGCGAAAGCCUGAUCCAGCAACACCGCGUGAGUGAAGAAGGCCUUCGGAUUGUAAAGCCCUUUUAUUGGGAAAGAAAUAUUUUAGGCUAAUACACUGGGAGCAUGACGGUACCCAAAGAAUAAGCACCGGCUAACUUCGUG
rnacentral:rRNA from 1 species